rnacentral:sRNA from 1 species
CUAUUAGAGUUCAUUCACACAUUGAAGAGUUACAUACAGGUCUCACUCCUUAUCUUUUUAACUUCCCCACCUGUGUUUUCAUGGACAGUUAAUUGUGUUCAUCAGCUCGGUGUGCCGGAAGAGCUACAGACUUCCCCAGUUCUUGUUCGACAUCAACCUGGGAGUAUUCCUUGACUAAGUCGUUCAGCUCUUGGCAGAACAAUCAGAUUCCCUAUUGUACCCCGAAGCUGGUCAAUCACAGCUGCACUCUUACACCACCCGCCUACAGCCUUUGUGUCUGUAACACAUCCACAAACGCUCUGGAAUAAACACAAAAUUUCUACGUUGCUCUGUUGAUCUCAGCAAUGCAGUGAAACAGGUCGGUCUCCUGCAUGGAGGAGGCAUCAUUUUCAAAAAUAUGCACAGGCAUCAGAAACAUAUGCAUCAUUCCCAAGACUUGGGAAGCUGACUUGAGAAUCCUCAAGGAUCUAGAAAACGAAGGAACAAUUGUGUCUCCUUAAAUGUAUUACCAUCUCAUUCUUUUCUUUCAGCUGCUCAACAGACAUUUACAAAGCUUAGAAAACUCCAGGAAAGUUCUUCAGUUUCUCUGAGGAAGAGAUUGGCUGAGUGAAACCAUGUCAAAUAGGUGGAGCGAGUGACAUCUAAGUAAACACAGAUCCCCAGAUGGCUACCCACCGGCCUCCUGUCCCUGAAGCUCUCCUCCGAGUAGACAUUGCUUCAGAACAACUCUGGAGCCAACACUGACGUCAAACAAGAGUACAUGUGGAAUGACCCAUAGCUCCAGCUGCAUAUAUAGCAGAGGAUGGCAUUGUCUGGCAUCAAUAGAAGGAGAAGCCCUUGGUCCUGUGAAGACUGGAUGCUCCAGUGAAAUACAUCUUUGCCUUUGAACAAUACGAGGCCUAAGUGUCAUGUGACUUAGCAUCCUGGCUGCAUGUGUCAUGCAUAAUUUCCUUCACUUUAAUAGUACUGUGUUUAUUUUUAAAAGAAAAAGAACUAGAAAAUAUUAUCCUUAUAAAAGAGACACAUGGUAUGUACUCACU